GGAGAGAUAGCUCAGUUAGUAGAGCAGUAGACUGUUAAUCUAUUGGUCGAGAGUUCAAGUCUAUCUAUCUCCGCCA
rnacentral:tRNA from 1 species